AAAUUUGCAGCAGUUAAAAAGCUGAUAAUUGAUUACAAGUCAUACACUUGCAUACUGUUGUUAGUUCAAGGUUUUGGUCACGAUCAGGAACAUUGUUUAGUUUGUUGUAGUAACUGUGUAGUCUUUCAGACAAGUUUGUGUUAAACGGGUGCUAGUCAGUUGAUGAACUCGUCUUGCUGACAUGUCGGUAUGUUUCCGAAUGCUUUUCAUGAGGUGUCGGGAGUGGAUGGUAUUUAUAGUUUGAAUAAGUUUGAGUGCUCAAAGUAGGUCUAUGAGCCUAAAAUUCUUUUAUAGGAUAAUGAAAUAAAACGUUGAAUCUACUUUGUUGAAUUUUGGAUCCGAAAUAAUCGUUAAGAAGUAUAGACGGUUUAUUAUAUGUCCGUGUUAGAGGUGAAAUUCUGGGAUCAUCCCCAAACAAUGUUGCUAUGAAUUUUCUCAUUGAUCAGGGACGAAAUUCGGAGUUUUGAAGGUGAUCACAUAUCGUUCUACGUAUGACCAUAAAUGAUGCCAACUGGCAAUCCGGAUUGCUUCUAUAGUAGGAAUAACGCGCAGUUCCCAGGAAACCUUUAAGUUGCUGGGCUCCG
rfam:Schistosoma mattheei strain Denwood, Zambia genome assembly, scaffold: SMTD_contig0001191